GAAAUCGCUAGACGCGAAAGUGCUUGAUUGAGAUCUUCAAAAACUCAUUCUGUAGGAUUCGUGGCUGAAAAGCUGACAAGGCGCGUCUCGUCCUCAACAGGCGCUAUGAACUCUGACCUGUAAGCGGACUACCUACGCCGGGAGGUACUUCGAGUGAUCAACCAAGGGAUGUCAUGUUGCCACAGGCGGUAUUUGUUCUGAUGUGUGGGAGACGAAAGGCUCGUCAUCCAGGUGGUGCUUGCCCCGUACAGGGACGCGAGCUCUGCGCGAUAAACAAGAUACACGCCAUGGGAUGGCUCGCUUUAGGCAGGAUGCUCCUUCCCUGGGUGUGGUGAAUCCUUCACCGUGAAGAGUCACCGGCUACAAAAGAACUGCCGUCAAACGUUUCGGCUCGAUUUAUUCCACAGUUGUAAUGAGAAGAAAAGCUGCCAGUCUGUAUGUCAACGGCAGAGAGAAUGGGCUGUCUCCGUCCUUAUACGCGGGAGAUGUACCGCGUGUAGUUCGGCCUAAGCUUAGUCGGAUUCCGAAGUACUACUAGUGCCGACAACGUUGUGUGUUGAUGUAUUGGUACAUUUCUGUCACUACAGUAAAGAAAUUGUAAACUCGGGUGCGAAUUCUGAACAGCGACCCCAAUGUGAAAAGUCUGCCGGUUGCCAAAAGCGCUCGUGAAGACCUUACCUUCGGGUGUGGAAGGAAUUCUGUGACGCAGCCAGUCUUUUUUCUAGUCGAGGGCCACGAUCGUCUUUCGAAAACGGCCUCGGAUAAGGAAAUACGCGCUUGCCGAUAAAGGGUAAACGCGAAUUAAAACAAAAAAACGUGGGUAAAAACCAAAAUGUUUGGUGCUUCUGAUGGCAAGGAGUCAUUGUUUCGCCAAGUCGCCAACAUUGAACAAAUGGCUGAGCACGCAUACGCUCAGGGCUUGCACAUAACGACCACACCUGUAUGAAAUGAAGACAAAAGACGCUUUGCUCGAUCUAUCGCUGCGAUUCACUCGCCUCUUCACCAAUUGGGUUCGAUUCCUCUCUUUCCGCGCCCAAUUUCUUCCCGAGUUUUUCUGUCUCUGGCAGAGCUGGCUCGGCCGCUGGCCGCCCCGCAGACUCCUUUGAUUCACCUCUGCUGCUUGUUGUUCCGGCACUAUGUUUGUCAGAAGCUUCGAGUUGUUC
rnacentral:lncRNA from 1 species